UCGGGAAUUUUGGGCAAUGGGCGAAAGCCUGACCCAGCGACGCCGCGUGAGGGAUGAAGGCCUUCGGGUCGUAAACCUCUGUCGGAAGGGGCGAAAGGUUCUCAGGCGAAUAGGCUGAGGGCUUGACGGUACCUUCAAAGGAAGCGCCGGCUAACUCCGUGCCAGCAGCCGCGGUAAUACGGAGGGCGCAAGCGUUGUUCGGAAUUACUGGGCGUAAAGCGCGUGUAGGUGGCUUGGAAAGUCGGGUGUGAAAUCCCGGAGCUCAACUCCGGAACUGCAUCCGAUACUGCCAAGCUCGAGUCUCGGAGAGGAUGGCGGAAUUUCCGGUGUAGAGGUGAAAUUCGUAGAUAUCGGAAGGAACACCAGUGGCGAAGGCGGCCGUCUGGACGAUGACUGACACUGAGACGCGAAAGCGUGGGGAGCAAACAGG
rnacentral:rRNA from 1 species